UCUCUUGCUCGCUCUUUAUCUCUUUUUUUCUCUCUCUCGCACUCUGUCCCCCCACCCCGGACUCAAGUAGGGGGCGGCAAGUGCCCUGAGACCUGACCACGUGUAUCUUUAGGACCAAGGAAGAAGUCUGAGCCCCAGAUGCAUCAUGGGAGACCCAGCCUCCCCAAGGACAUCUUGGUGCAAACAGGAGGAUGAGUGCUGUACCCCAAACCCCGGACUCUUGGAGCUGUUUUUCGGACAAAUGGGAGGAAUCAAUGCCUACCAGUGGUCACAUCGAUCCCCAGGAAGCCACAGCCCGGACCUGCACCGGACCAUCCGCCCCCGUGCAGAGUGGAGGACAAACCGGCUCCUCACGGGAUGCCAUGGACGUUGCGCCGGCCCCGCUAUUCGGGAAUCGCGUGGCCCCAGCCUGCUGCCACCGGGCCACUCCUCCCCUACCCCCCUUCGCCUCCUCCCCCACCUUCCCCCUCAGCCCCUAACUGUAUCCCCUCCUUCCAGACAAUGCCAUUUCCUUUGGCGGUCAAGGGUCAAACAUUGCAUCAUGGCUCCCACAUGAAUCUCUGGCAAUUCCUAGAGGUGAUGGAUGUGCGUGUGUCUCUGGUGUGAGAACGAGGGCUGGGACCAGAGCAGGGUGAGAGGGGCCACCCCUUUUUGAAGGGGGAGACGGGUUCUGGAAACAGGGGUCUAGAGUUCUGGACAGGUAUUCCGAGGACGGACUUCAAGACCAGGUGUGAAGUCGCCUGGGGCCCUUAAUUCUAUAGUCAGUGCGGCUUCCUCCAGGUCUGGUCCACUGGGAGUUAUCUGCCCAGCUCUGGCUUCGAGAGUACAGACUCGCUUUCCCGGCCGAGGGGGGUGCCCCUGGGGGAGCGGGGUACAGGGACAGUGGUAGUUAAGGGUAUGUGGGUCUAUCUGUGUGUAUGUGUGUGUGACUGCCAUGUGUCAUCCAUCCCUCCUGGAGGAGCCAAAUGGCGGCCGGGGAGAGGGGGGAAUAGGAGCAAAUUCUAGAGUGGGAAGAUGCAAAAUGAUUUUCCCCGCUGCCGCAUGGGAGGAAAUGGUGCAGUCUGGCCCCCUCCGCCCCUCGCCUGCCUGGGCUCUAUAAGGCCAAAUGUACCUGGAAUAAAAUGUCUAGCUUCUGAAUCA